rnacentral:snRNA from 15 species
AUGCUUAUCUAUCAGGGAUGCAUUCUGAUCAUGGAGGUGGUUUUCAAGUGUGAGUGUCAUCUCUAGCACUUCAAGUAGGCUGACUCCUGCAAUUUCCCCAGAUCCAAGGAACCUGACUGUAAAAUUUGUGAUGUAGGAGAUUGUUUUGUCCUUUUCCUGA